rnacentral:rRNA from 1 species
ACGUAGGUGGCGAGCGUUGUCCGGAAUUAUUGGGCGUAAAGCGCGCGUAGGCGGGAUAUUAAGUCUGCUCUAAAAGUGCGGGGCUUAACUCCGUAAUGGGGUGGAAACUAAUAUUCUUGAGUGCCGGAGAGGAAAGCGGAAUUCCCAGUGUAGCGGUGAAAUGCGUAGAUAUUGGGAGGAACACCAGUGGCGAAGGCGGCUUUCUGGACGGUGUCUGACGCUGAGGCGCGAAAGCCAGGGGAGCGAACGG